AAAGUCGUAACAAGGUUUCCGUAGGUGAACCUGCGGAAGGAUCAUUAUUGAUUUGAAAACGGGAUGUUGCUGACCCAUUUUUUUGGGUAAACGUGCACUCCUGACCUUUACAUCCACCUGUGCACUUUUUGUAGGCGGGAUUUAUUCCGUCUAUGAUUUUUAUUACACUCUUAUUUAAUGGGAUGAUAGUCUGACUUUGAUUUAACGAUCGAGUCAAAAAUCUAUACAACUUUCAACAAUGGAUCUCUUGGUUCUC
rnacentral:misc_RNA from 1 species